GACGAACGCUGGCGGCGCGCUUAACACAUGCAAGUCGAACGGAUCCUUCGGGAUUAGUGGCGGACGGGUGAGUAACACGUGGGAACGUGCCCUUUGGUUCGGAACAACUCAGGGAAACUUGAGCUAAUACCGGAUGUGCCCUUCGGGGGAAAGAUUUAUCGCCAUUGGAGCGGCCCGCGUCUGAUUAGCUAGUUGGUGAGGUAAAGGCUCACCAAGGCGACGAUCAGUAGCUGGUCUGAGAGGAUGAUCAGCCACAUUGGGACUGAGACACGGCCCAAACUCCUACGGGAGGCAGCAGUGGGGAAUCUUGCGCAAUGGGCGAAAGCCUGACGCAGCCAUGCCGCGUGAAUGAUGAAGGUCUUAGGAUUGUAAAAUUCUUUCACCGGGGACGAUAAUGACGGUACCCGGAGAAGAAGCCCCGGCUAACUUCGUGCCAGCCGCCGCCGUAAUAC
rnacentral:rRNA from 1 species